rnacentral:rRNA from 1 species
UGGGGAAUCUUGCGCAAUGGGCGAAAGCCUGACGCAGCAACGCCGCGUGCGGGAUGACGGCCUUCGGGUUGUAAACCGCUUUCAGCAGGGACGAAGAUGACGGUACCUGCAGAAGAAGCUGCGGCUAACUACGUGCCAGCAGCCGCGGUAAUACGUAGGCAGCAAGCGUUGUUCGGAGUUACUGGGCGUAAAGAGUGCGUAGGCGGUUUUCUAAGUUCGGUGUGAAAUCUCCCGGCUUAACUGGGAGGGUGCGCCGAAGACUGGGAAGCUGGAGUGUGGGAAAGGCAGGCGGAAUUCCUGGUGUAGCGGUGAAAUGCGUAGAUAUCAGGAGGAACACCGGCGGUGUAGACGGCUUGCUAGACCAUAACUGACGCUGAGGCACGAAAGCGUGGGUAGCAAACA